rnacentral:rRNA from 1 species
GAUCCUGGCUCAGGACGAACGCUGGCGGCGUGCCUAAUACAUGCAAGUAGAACGCUGAAGGAGGAGCUUGCUUCUCCGGAUGAGCUGCGAACGGGUGAGUAACGCGUGGGUAACCUGCCUCAUACAGGGGGAUAACAGUUGGAAACGACUGCUAAUACCGCAUAAGCGCACAGGAUCGCAUGAUCCGGUGUGAAAAACUCCGGUGGUAUGGGAUGGACCCGCGUCUGAUUAG